GACGAACGCUGGCGGCGUGCUUAACACAUGCAAGUCGAACGGAAAGGCCCUGCUUUUGUGGGGUGCUCGAGUGGCGAACGGGGGAGUAACACGAGAGCAACCUGCCCUUGACUGUGGGAUAACUUCAGGAAACUGGGGCUAAUACCGGAUAGGAGCUCCUGCUGCAAGGCGGGGGUCGGAAAGUUACGGCGGUUGGGGAUGGGCUCGGGGUUUAUCGGUUUGUUGGCGGGGUAGUGGCUUACCAAGGCUUUGACGGGUAGCCGGCCGGGGAGGGUGGCCGGCCACAUUGGGACUGGGGUCACGCCCCUAAUCCUUCGGGAGGCCACAGUGGGGAAUAUUGCGCCAUGGGCGCAAGCCUGUUGCAGCGACGCCGCGUGCGCAAUAACGGCUUUCGGGUUGUAAACCGUUUUCGCCUGUGACAAAGCGUAAGUGACGGUAAUGGGUAAAGAAGCACCGGCUAACUACGUG
rnacentral:rRNA from 1 species